ACGCCCGCUCAAGAACUAGAAUGAAUUGACGGGGGCCCGCACAAGCGGUGGAGUAUGUGGUUUAAUUCGAUGCAACGCGAAGAACCUUACCUGGUCUUGACAUCCCGGAGACCCUUAGGAAACUAGGGGGUGCUUCCAUCUGGAAGAAUCUGGAGACAGGUGCUGCAUGGCUGUCGUCAGCUCGUGUCGUGAGAUGUUGGGUUAAGUCCCGCAACGAGCGCAACCCUUGCCUUUAGUUGCCAGCAGUUCGGCUGGGCACUCUAAAGGGACUGCCGGUGUUAAACCGGAGGAAGGUGGGGAUGACGUCAAGUCCUCAUGGCCUUUAUGACCAGGGCUACACACGUACUACAAUGGCCGAUACAAAGGGCAGCGACACUGCGAGGUGAAGCCAAUCCCGUAAAAUCGGUCUCAGUCCGGAUUGGAGUCUGCAACUCGACUCCAUGAAGUUGGAAUCGCUAGUAAUCGUGGAUCAGCAUGCCACGGUGAAUACGUUCCCGGGCCUU
rnacentral:rRNA from 1 species